UUUUCCUGCAGGUUGACGAAUCCAGCCUGUAUGCUCACUUGUAACUGAAUAUGAGACUUUACAGUUGAUAGUGAGAGUGGCAUCAGGACGGACAGUCAGAGACUCAGGCUGAGCGAGAAGCAAGAUGAAUGAGGGAGACAUGGUGAAGGCUCAGAAGUACAGUCGAUGUGCAUGUAGGACAAACACAAUGGCCGUGAUUGUGACCAGUGCGGCUCUAACUGUGUUCCUGGUAUUCUAUUGUGGAGAAGUCUUUAAUGAUGGAGUUAUCUUACAUGUUAUAUAAGUUCAGCUUACACGUCUUUUCUACUUUUGAACUGUCUUUUGACAUUGAAAGGCAAAAAUCUAAACCCCAAAAUAAUUAUGAUCAAAGUAGACACAACUCUUAUCCAUCUGGAAACAACAUUAAUAGAAGUCCUCAGAGACCCUCAUACAGUGGAGGAAGAUAAUACAAGUGAUACUGUGAGGUGAAAAUGAUCAUCGCAGUUUUAUUGAAAUGUCACAAUAAUGCUAUAUGCUUAGUUUGAUUAGCAGAUUUUGUAUUAGAAACCUUUUCUAAAAUAAUAUUAUAGUCAUCAAGGUCACUUAAUUUGCUUCUGAUAUCAUAAGAAUAUACAUAAGAAUAUAGCAAUUUCAUGAUUGUAUCCUCUUGUAUUUAUGUUUGAAUGAGCAUGUUAUUAUUUUUAACAGAAUGUAUUUUAAAGCUUUCUAUAUGCUUUGUAGUUACAGAAUGUAAAUAAUUCUUAUGAAAC